GCAUGCCUUACACAUGCAAGUCGAACGGUAACGGGUUAAGCCGACGAGUGGCGAACGGGUGAGUAAUAUAUCGGAACGUGCCCAGUCGUGGGGGAUAACGUAGAGAAAUUUACGCUAAUACCGCAUACGAUCCAAGGAUGAAAGCGGGGGACCUUCGGGCCUCGUGCGACUGGAGCGGCUGAUAUCAGAUUAGGUUGUUGGUGAGGUAAAAGCUCACCAAGCCGACGAUCUGUAGCUGGUUUGAGAGAACGACCAGCCACACUGGGACUGAGACACGGCCCAGACACCUACGGGUGGCAGCAGUCGAGAAUUUUUCUCAAUGGGGGAAACCCUGAAGGAGCGACGCCGCGUGGAGGAUGAAGGUUUUCGGAUUGUAAACU
rnacentral:rRNA from 1 species